rnacentral:rRNA from 1 species
UACGUAGGGGGCGAGCGUUGUCCGGAUUUAUUGGGCGUAAAGAGCUCGUAGGCGGUUUGGUAAGUUGGAUGUGAAAUCUCCAGGCUCAACUUGGAGGGGUCAUUCGAUACUGCCAUGACUAGAGUUCGGUAGGGGAGUGUGGAAUUCCUGGUGGAGCGGUGAAAUGCGCAGAUAUCAGGAGGAACACCCGUAGCGAAGGCGGCACUCUGGGCCGGAACUGACGCUGAUGCACGAAAGCUAGGGUAGCGAACGGG